rnacentral:misc_RNA from 1 species
GAUGAAGAACGUAGCGAAAUGCGAUACUUGGUGUGAAUUGCAGAAUCCCGUGAACCAUCGAGUCUUUGAACGCAAGUUGCGCCCGAAGCCAUUAGGCCGAGGGCACGCCUGCCUGGGCGUCACACGUCGUUGCCCCCCCAUCUACUCCUUCGGGAUUGCGGGGGGCGAAUGAUGGCCUCCCGUGCGCCUCGUCGCGCGGUUGGCAUAAAUGCCAAGUCCUCGGCGACGCACGCCACGACAAUCGGUGGUUGCGAAACCUCGGUUGCCCGUCGUGUGCGGUCGUCGCGCAUCGAGGGCUCGAAAAAAUUGUCGGGCUCCGGCUCGGCUUUCAACGCGACCCCAGGUCAGGCGGGGUUACCCGCUGAAUUUAAGCAUAUCAAUAAGCGGAGGA